AGCGAACGCUGGCGGCAGGCUUAACACAUGCAAGUCGAGCGGGCAUAGCAAUAUGUCAGCGGCAGACGGGUGAGUAACGCGUGGGAACGUACCUUUUGGUUCGGAACAACUGAGGGAAACUUCAGCUAAUACCGGAUAAGCCCUUACGGGGAAAGAUUUAUCGCCGAAAGAUCGGCCCGCGUCUGAUUAGCUAGUUGGUGAGGUAAUGGCUCACCAAGGCGACGAUCAGUAGCUGGUCAGAGAGGAUGAUCAGCCGCAUUGGGACUGAGACACGGCCCAAACUCCUACGGGAGGCAGCAGUGGGGAAUAUUGGACAAUGGGCGCAAGCCUGAUCCAGCCAUGCCGCGUGAGUGAUGAAGGCCCUAGGGUUGUAAAGCUCUUUUGUGCGGGAAGAUAAUGACGGUACCGCAAGAAUAAGCCCCGGCUAACUUCGUGCCAGCAGCCGCCGUAA
rnacentral:rRNA from 1 species